rnacentral:lncRNA from 1 species
AGAGGACCAGAGGAAACAUCUCCUUCAGUGGUGGAAGUAGUUUCCGCAGACAAAAGAUAGCCAAAAGUAUGGCAUGCUGGGGACAUGAGAGACAUUUUAAAGGUCUCUGAGACUUGAUCAAUGACCACUUUCUUGGAGAGCCCCACAUGGUGUAAUUUAUGCAAAUCCUGUGAAGUGGAGUCAUCUAUCUGCUCAGACAUGCAGAAAUCUUUCAGGAGAAGGGUGAGAGAUUUUUGGAAGAAAAGAAGUACAGUGGCCAGGAAAGGAAUUACCUUAAGAAGGUAAUAUGUUGAUGGGAGGAGCAGAUGCCCUGGAGUAAAACUGUUUUCCAGAAGUUUCUUGUCCUAGUGUCCAACUGGAUAAUGAUGAGCAAUCCUUGAACUCCAUCAUGUGCCUCAUGGAAUAGAGUGUAUUGUAAAAAUGCAGCUCAGCAAACGUCUCUCUUCAAAAAGUGGCUUUAAAACCUAGGACAUAUUUAGCCUACUCAGGGAAAAGAAACAAAAUAAAGCAUUCUAUAGCAGCCUUAUGACCCAUUGCUAAAGGAACCCAAAUCCACCAGCACAAGACACAGGAGUCAUUAUGAGGCAAACAGCAGUUAACCUGUGAGCUCUGAAGUCCUCCAGAGGCUGUGUGUGCGCAGUUGCCAUGGGCUGUGGAUGACCCAGGGUGUUGUGUGCCUGUUCAUUGCUCAACCUCUCAUCCUACAUCUCAUCAGUAAUGGAAUAAGUAGAUUCACCAGGGAUAUGAGUCGAAAUACUGAUUCCUGAGCUCUAAACCUGCUACACCAG